CCUACGGGAGGCAGCAGUGAGGAAUAUUGGUCAAUGGACGAGAGUCUGAACCAGCCAAGUAGCGUGAAGGAUGACUGCCCUAUGGGUUGUAAACUUCUUUUAUAAAGGAAUAAAACGAGGCACGUGUGCCUUUUUGCAUGUACUUUAUGAAUAAGGAUCGGCUAACUCCGUGCCAUCAGCCGCGGUAAUUCGGAGGAUACGACCGUUAUCCGGAUUUAUUGGGUUUAAAGGGAGCGUAGAUGGGUUGUUAAGUCAGUUGUGAAAGUUUGCGGCUCAACCGUAAAAUUGCAAUUGAUACUGGCAGUCUUGAGUACAGUUGAGGUAGGCGGAAUGCGUGGUGUAGCGGUGAAAUGCUUAGAUAUCACGAAGAACCCCGAUUGCGAAGGCAGCUUACUAAGCUGUGACUGACAUUGAUGCUCGAAAGUGUGGGUAUCAAACAGGAUUAGAUACCCUAGUAGUC
rnacentral:rRNA from 1 species